GACGAACGCUGGCGGCGUGCCUAACACAUGCAAGUCGAGCGAAUGAAGUUCCUUCGGGAAUGGAUUUAGCGGCGGACGGGUGAGUAACACGUGGGCAACCUGCCUCAUAGAGGGGAAUAGCCUUCCGAAAGGGAGAUUAAUACCGCAUAAGAUUGUAGUACCGCAUGAUACAGCAAUUAAAGGAGUAAUCCGCUAUGAGAUGGGCUCGCGGCGCAUUAGCUAGUUGGUGAGGUAACGGCGCACCAAGGCGACGAUGCGUAGCCGACCUGAGAGGGUGAUCGGCCACAUUGGGACUGAGAAACGGCCCGGACUCCUACGGGAGGCAGCAGUGGGGAAUAUUGCACAAUGGGGGAAACCCUGAUGCAGCAACGCCGCGUGAGUGAUGACGGCCUUCGGGUUGUAAAGCUCUGUCUUCAGGGACGAUAAUGACGGUACCUGAAGAGGAAGCCACGGCUAACUACGUGCCAGCCGCCGCCGUAACAC
rnacentral:rRNA from 1 species